UCGAACCUGCUGAUCUCCAAGGUGGAGGCCCGUUCGGAGGAGUCGGACGACGUCAAGCCGUACACGCACCAGCGCCAGCUGGAGAAGGUGGUGGUGCCGCUGGGGGACGACCUGCGUCGCGUCCGAGACAAAUACAUGGAGGUAGUUCGGACAUUCUUGUGCAGACUGAUUCAGCUGAAGUUGAUCUACACCAGGGAUGAUACGACGUUGACCAAGUAUCAGCUUCUGAGAGCUCGCGAUGCCUUCAAGCAGUCGCGGCCGGCCGGGAUGGCGGCGCGCCA